CUAAGACCUGCGAGUCGAGCGUCUCUAGCUAUGUUGAGACGCGGCAGACGGCUCAGUAACACGUGGCUAACCUACCCUCAGGACAAGUACAAACCCGGGAAACUGGGGCUAAUACUCGAUAGGCGAAGGCGCCUGGAAUGGUUCUUCACCCAAAGGGCUUUAGAAACAUGCUUCUAGAGUCGCCUGGGGAUGGGGCCGCGUCCGAUCAGGUUGUUGGUGAGGUAACGGCUCACCAAGCCUAUAACCGGUACGGGCCGUGAGAGCGGUAGCCCGGAAAUGGGUACUGAGGCCAGGACCCAGGCCCUACGGGGCGCAGCAGUCGCGAAAACUCCGCAAUGCACGAAAGUGUGACGGGGCUACCCCGAGUGCCGUCCGCUGAGGAUGGCUUUUCCUUGGUGUAACUAGCCGGGGGAAUUAGGAGAAGGGCAAGACUGGUGUCAGCCGNNCGCGGUAA
rnacentral:rRNA from 1 species